rnacentral:tRNA from 1 species
AAGGGUGUAGCUCAAUAGGUAGAGCAACGGUCUCCAAAAUCGUUGGUUGUUGGUUCGAGUCCAGCCACCCUUUCCA